rnacentral:rRNA from 1 species
UCAAUCUCGUGAGGCUGAGCGCCUCGGUUCCCUUUAAGAAGAACAUAACUCGCCGGUGGCACCACGACACCGGACGCCUAGUUAAUAGGCUAGAGUCUCGUUCGUUAU